CCCUUAGAUGUUCUGGGCCGCACGCGCGCUACACUGAUGCAUUCAACGAGCCUAGCCUUGACCGAGAGGUCCGGGCAAUCUUUGAAACUGCAUCGUGAUGGGGCUAGAUUAUUGCAAUUAUUAAUCUUCAACGAGGAAUGCCUAGUAAGCGUGAUUCAUCAAAUCGCGUUGAUUACGUCCCUGCCCUUUGUACACACCGCCCGUCGCUCCUACCGAUUGAGUGUGUUGGUGAGGAGUUCGGAUUGGCUCUUAGUGGUGGUUCGCCACCACCUAGAGCUGAGAAGUUCUCCAAACCGCCCCACUUAGAGGAAGGAGAAGUCGUANCA
rnacentral:rRNA from 1 species